rnacentral:rRNA from 1 species
UACGUAGGGUGCAAGCGUUAAUCGGAAUUACUGGGCGUAAAGCGUGCGCAGGCGGUUUUGUAAGUCUGUCGUGAAAUCCCCCGGGCUCAACCUGGGAAUUGCGAUGGAGACUGCAAGGCUAGAAUCUGGCAGAGGGGGGUAGAAUUCCACGUGUAGCAGUGAAAUGCGUAGAGAUGUGGAGGAACACCGAUGGCGAAGGCAGCCCCCUGGGUCAAGAUUGACGCUCAUGCACGAAAAGCGUGGGGGAGCAAACGAGG